UGCUUUCAAGACGUGAAGACUUUAAAGAUCCUCCGACAUUGAAGACUUGAAAGGACAUCAGAGUUUUGAGAACUCGAAGACCAAAGACCAUCGAAGUUCGAGACGAGUCUACAACUAUAGAAGAUAAAGACAAAGCUACAGCCAAGGGGGAGUUUGUUGAUGCACUUGUUGUUGGUGCACUUGUGUCUGUACUUUGUCUGUAUUCGGUCACGAUGUAAACGAUGUCCUGUUCUUGUGUUGUAAGUUGACCAAGUCAACCAUCCUCCGGUUUGACUUGGACAACAGUUGGUAAAAGUUGAAAGAUGUACUGUCUCGAAGGAUAAGAGAUCGAAGGAUGAUAUGGAUCCUUCGAUCUCAUCGAAAGAUAUGCUUCGAAUGAUUAGACCUCGAAAGAUGAUCUUUCGAGGUCCCUGCUGAUCUUUCGAGUGACUUGUCUUCGAUAGAUGAUCCUUCGGACCAUCUAUCGGAUCCUUCGGACUGCACAUCAUGAGCUGGGUAUAAAUACCCAUGCAUUGUGUUGAGUUCAGUAGGACAGACAGAGAGAACACACACAUCCGAGAGAUAGCUUUGAGAGCAUUCUGUCCGAAACUCACACACACACUUUGAGAGUUUACAAGUUAGGUUUGUAAACAUUGUGCUUGUAACCGAAACCUUCAUUUGCAUUAAUACAAGUUGUGUUAAUCGGUGAACCCUUGUGUGUUGUGUUUAUACUUGCUUAAUCCCGGUUUGCUCGCUAGCUUGGAUUCCGCACUCGCUAGUGGGUUAGUAUAACAAGGUUUGAGGUUCGUCAUCCGACAAAAAGGGAC
rnacentral:lncRNA from 1 species